rnacentral:rRNA from 1 species
UACGUAGGCAGCAAGCGUUGUUCGGAGUUACUGGGCGUAAAGGGCGCGUAGGCGGCGUGUUAAGUCAGCUGUGAAAUCUCCGAGCUUAACUCGGAACGGUCAGCUGAUACUGAUGUGCUAGAGUGCAGAAGGGGCAAUCGGAAUUCUUGGUGUAGCGGUGAAAUGCGUAGAUAUCAAGAGGAACACCUGAGGUGAAGACGGGUUGCUGGGCUGACACUGACGCUGAUGCGCGAAAGCGUGGGGAGCAAACAGG